UACGUAGGUGGCAAGCGUUGUUCGGAAUUAUUGGGCGUAAAGGGCGCGUAGGCGGUUUGUUAAGUCGGUCGUGAAAGCCCGGGGCUCAACCCCGGAGGGUCGACCGACACUGGCAGACUAGAGUACAGAAGAGGUAACUGGAAUUCCCGGUGUAGCGGUGAAAUGCGUAGAUAUCGAGAGGAACACCUGCGGCGAAGGCGGGUUGCUGGGCUGACACUGACGCUGAGGCGCGAAAGCUAGGGGAGCGAACGGG
rnacentral:rRNA from 1 species